AUUGAACGCUGGCGGCAGGCCUAACACAUGCAAGUCGAACGAGUGGCGGACGGGUGAGUAAUGUAUGGGGAUCUGCCCGCUAGAGGGGGAUAACUACUGGAAACGGUGGCUAAUACCGCAUACUAUCGGCUGAACCCAUAUGGGAUUAGCUAGUUGGUGGGGUAAAGGCUCACCAAGGCGACGAUCCCUAGCUGGUCUGAGAGGAUGACCAGCCACACUGGGACUGAGACACGGCCCAGAGUCCUACGGCAGGCAGCAUUGGUGAAUAUUGGACAAUGGGCGCAAGCCUUAUGCAUCCAUGCCGCGUGUAUGAUGAAGGCCUUAGGGUUGUAAAGUACUUUCAGUGGGGAGGCGUUACCCGCAGAAGAAGCACCGGCUAACUCCGUGCCAGCCGCCGCGGUAAUUC
rnacentral:rRNA from 1 species